rnacentral:misc_RNA from 1 species
UACAAUAUAAGAUAUAACAAGAUUGCCUUAACAAAUUAACAGAAAGAAAUGCUACGUAAAGAAUAAAAUGAAUUGCGAUAAUUUAGGUCCUAUGUUCAAGAUUAUUUAAAUAUGCUACAAACAAGUCAUUCCAGAUAUCUGUAAGUCCCGGUAAGCACCAGUGCAUGCAAUCAUCAUGUUUCUUCCCACCUGCUGUAGAAGGAUGGGCAUCGGCUCUAAACUCACUCAAAUGAGAUAUAUCCAGUAUAUGAAAUUCAGUGCCUUCAAAGGCCCUGUAUAGAUGCUGAUUCACAAGGCGAACCUCCACAUUUGUUCCGUUAUUUUGAAUGGAAAAGAGUUCCUCCACCUCUUGAGGUGAGA